CUACGGGGGGCUGCAGUGAGGAAUAUUGCACAAUGGGGGGAACCCUGAUGCAGCAACGCCGCGUGGAGGAUGACGCAUUUCGGUGUGUAAACUCCUUUUAUAUGUCAAGAAAAUGACGGUAGCAUAUGAAUAAGCACCGGCUAACUCCGUGCCAGCAGCCGCGGUAAUACGGAGGGUGCAAGCGUUACUCGGAUCACUGGGCGUAAAGGACGCGUAGGCGGGUUGGAAAGUCAGGUGUGAAAUACUACAGCUUAACUGUAGAACUGCACUUGAAACUUCUAAUCUAGAGUAUGGGAGGGGGUGAUGGAAUUAGUGGUGUAGGGGUAAGAUCCGUAGAUAUCACUAGGAAUACCUAAAGCGAAGGCGAUCUCCUGGAACAUUACUGACGCUAAGGCGUGAAAGCGUGGGGAGCAAACAGGAUUAGAUACCCUCGUAGUC
rnacentral:rRNA from 1 species